UACGUACUUCCUUCGUCUGGAAAUACUUAUCCUAAGAAUGGUUAUAUCUAGACUUAUUUUAGUUAUAAAUACAUUCAUUUUAUUUAUUUUUUGGACAAGUAUUUUCGGGCGGAGGGAGUACUCG
rnacentral:pre_miRNA from 1 species